AUCAAGACGUUGAACAAGAGGAGUAGCUAAAUCGUUGUUUUAAAGAGAGGGAAUCAUUUGCUGGAAGAUUCUCAACAUGAUUAGUGAAGGUAGCUUGGGAGUUUUUGAUUUGAAUUUGCAGUAAAAUCAAACGAAUCGUGAUCGUUAACUCACGCGUUAAGAGGUAGCAUAAGGCUACAAUUUAGGUGGUACCGCGUAAUUUACGUCCUAAGA
rnacentral:ncRNA from 1 species